rnacentral:tRNA from 1 species
GCUCAGUUGGUUAAGCAUCCAACUUUUGAUUUCAGCUCAAGUCGUGAUCUCAGGGUUGUGGGAUCAAGCCCCGCACUGGGCU